UACGGGGGGAGCAAGCGUUGUUCGGAUUUACUGGGCGUAAAGGGCGCGUAGGCGGCCACCGCAAGUCAAUUGUGAAAUCUCCGGGCUUAACUCGGAAAGGUCAACUGAUACUGCGGGGCUAGAGUGCGGAAGGGGCAACUGGAAUUCUCGGUGUAGCGGUGAAAUGCGUAGAUAUCGAGAGGAACACCUGCGGCGAAGGCGGGUUGCUGGGCUGACACUGACGCUGAGGCGCGAAAGCUAGGGGAGCGAACGGG
rnacentral:rRNA from 1 species